rnacentral:rRNA from 1 species
GACGAACGCAGGCGGCGUGCCUAAUACAUGCAAGUAGAACGCUGAAGAGAGGAGCUUGCUCUUCUCGGAUGAGUUGCGAACGGGUGAGUAACGCGUAGGUAACCUGCCUUGUAGCGGGGGAUAACUAUUGGAAACGAUAGCUAAUACCGCAUAACAAUGGAUGACACAUGUCAUUUAUUUGAAAGGGGCAAUUGCUCCACUACAAGAUGGACCUGCGUUGUAUUAGCUAGUAGGUGAGGUAACGGCUCACCUAGGCGACGAUACAUAGCCGACCUGAGAGGGUGAUCGGCCACACUGGGACUGAGACACGGCCCAGACUCCUACGGGAGGCAGCAGUAGGGAAUCUUCGGCAAUGGGGGCAACCCUGACCGAGCAACGCCGCGUGAGUGAAGAAGGUUUUCGGAUCGUAAAGCUCUGUUGUAAGUCAAGAACGAGUGUGAGAGUGGAAAGUUCACACUGUGACGGUAGCUUACCAGAAAGGGACGGCUAACUACGUGCCAGCAGCCGCGGUAAUACGUAGGUCCCGAGCGUUGUCCGGAUUUAUUGGGCGUAAAGCGGGCGCAGGCGGUUUGAUAAGUCUGAAGUUAAAGGCUGUGGCUCAACCAUAGUUCGCUUUGGAAACUGUCAAACUUGAGUGCAGAAGGGGAGAGUGGAAUUCCAUGUGUAGCGGUGAAAUGCGUAGAUAUAUGGAGGAACACCGGUGGCGAAAGCGGCUCUCUGGUCUGUAACUGACGCUGAGGCUCGAAAGCGUGGGGAGCGAACAGG